UUGAUCCUAUGUCGAACCCAGCAACCAAGAAUCAUACUAUCUGACGCAUCGAUUGUGUUCCACUUCGUCUUCACCAUCUUGGUUCUCCCUGAUGUCCGUUACGGUGAGCUCUUCUUGAUCAAUCAAUGGUUCUCAUUAAUUCCUUUGUAGUUUCGUUCCACCUCCCUCUCUUUAUCCUCAUAUAAAGAUUGCUCAACCGCUUCGUCUGAACUUACUUGCAAGCAAGCAAACCCGAAAGCCUCCAGCAAAAAAUCGAAAGCUCUGUCAACAAAAUCCAACCGAAAGUCCCAUGUCUCCACCGGCAAGUCUCUGUAGUUUGAAUCUAAAGUUGAAGUGCGGUAUGUGAUUGCUGUAACGUGUGAAGAUAAAUGGCUAUCAAAUACGACCUCUGAAUGAAAACAUGAAGAAGUGUCAGUAUGCCGUAAGUGUUGAGCUCUAGAAAAGGCAAAAAGGUGGUUGCGCUCUGUCAAGCUCCUUAUCUACUAGAUGACCCAAAUGUGCUUACAGUGACUCAAGAGGCCUUCCGGGAGCUAGGAAAGCCAGCUCAAGCCUUUUGUUUGUCAUUUUCAUAUCUCAGUAAUCCAGAACUCAUAUUCCUCACGAUGGAGCUAGCAAAGGUGUGAAACAAAUCUUAAACUGUGCUAUUCGCGGUGAGGGAGACGAGGCUUCAUUGGUCUGAACCGUGUAUGGCACUACGAAUGUCAUUUGAAGCAAGUCUUUUCCGAGAGCCUCACCAUUUCUCCACGAAAAAUAAAGACAUCCACAGGUUCACUGACCACCAGUUCACCAUUUCUUUCAGUCACAACUCCGUGUUGUCGGGGAUGUCAUCUUCUGUAUUAUUUUUUGCCGAGGAAGUCGAUCCCACCAGAGAAUAUAUGUUUGAUUUCGUACAAUGAUAAUGGCCAAAAAUGAAUGAUGCUUUUCACAUAUUUCUGUGUUGCCUCUCAAUGUCUCACGGAGAUUUCGUUUGACAUUCGAAGUGAAAAAUAACCAAAAGCGCAAGAAAUGAGUAAGACGAUCAGAUGUUACGCUCAUGCUAUUUUUGGCUGCUAAUUGUUUGAGGGAUAUGGAGUGCCAGGAAGCAAUAUUGAGAAGAGCAGACGAGUGCAAGUGCGACCAAGAAGCUUCACCAGAAAAGGCAAUUCAUCACAAUUUAAGUAAAAAAAAAGGAAUUAUGAUCAGAAGAAAUAAGGUGAUGAUGAGAUGAAUGCAUGUCUUAUAUGCCCUGAAGCGAUGGAUGCAGCAGAUCUAAGCUUCUUACUAUGUCCUUGCGGAUUUGUCUAUGUCUCUUCUCCUCUAUUCAGAUCAACCAAAACGAUGGACGUAGCCCACGACGGUCAGCUUCCCCAAACAAGUAUGAGAGGACAAGUAGUAACAGUGCUUUAUUUUUUAGUUAUUUCCUUAGUAUCUCAAUUGCACACAGCAUAUUGUUUGUCAACAGAGUUUGUGUUACUGACGUUGCUGCAUCUUUUGAAAGUUUGAAGCUUAAUAAAAGUGAAAGAUAGUUGAUAUGUUA